ensembl:lncRNA novel transcript, antisense to NAV3
UGCAAGCUCCGCCUCCCGGGUUCACGCCAUUCUCCUGCCUCAGCCUCCCAAGUAGCUGGGACUACAGGCGCCCGCCACUACGCCCGGCUAAUUUUUUGUAUUUUUAGUAGAGACGGGGUUUCACCGUUUUAGCCGGGAUGGUCUCGAUCUCCUGACCUCGUGAUCCGCCCGCCUCGGCCUCCCAAAGUGCUGGGAUUACAGGCGUGAGCCACUGCGCCCGGCCACAGUGAUGUGGGACACACAGUGAUUUUCCAGCUCAUACUCUCGGAUUCUGGGCUGAGAUUUUGGGGCUGCCUCCUACGUAAGCCAACAAGGGCACACUGCAUAAGCUGAUGAGCAAUAAGUCCAGCACAUCCUGGGUAUCCUCGCACAAUCAUCCUUGAGCUAAGACCAGCCUCAUCAUCUGCUGAUCAGAUCUUAGCAUCUUCCGCACAGGUCGUGUCACCCUUCAAACAUAAGCUUUUCAUGAAUGAAG